AUUUGCCAAGCGGGGGGGGGGGGGGGGACACACCUCAAAAAAAAAAAAAAAAAGGAGGAAAAAAAAAAAAAGCCCCGCGAUGCAGGCAAGAGGAAGGCAGGCGGGGAGUAGCGCUGCUGCCGCGCAGGCCCGGCGCCGCGCCUCCCCAAAUCUGCAAGCCUCUCUCUGCAUGGGAAGGCUGGGGGUGGGAGGGGUAUCCCUGGAGCACAGAUUGCUAUGGCACUGGGUUGAAUUUGGGGUGCACCCGUCCUCCCCGCGGGCUGCGCAGCGCGGGGCCGAGGGAGGCACGGCCGUGGUUGGGCACAAUGGCGUCGCUGCUCAGGAGAGCAAAGGCUCGCACAAACCCUGGCAGGAUUUAAGCACGGGUGUUUAAACCACCUCUCUUCCUAGGGUUGCGGAGCACCUGUUUCUGAAAGCUGGACGUGUUACGGUAAAACAGAGAGCGAGCUCAGGCCUGUAGGCAGCACCGAAGUCGGUGUGACCCCUGUGCAUGCUGUGAGCCAUGGUUCUGAGUAAUGGCAGGGGCUGGCAAACCACCUGCAUUUUCUUCCCUUGUUUUUUGUACUUUAAAAAGGCAAAUCCUGUAUGUCUACAUGAUGGUCUUGCUUAAAUCAGGAGACCUUUUACAUAGUGGGUUAACUCACAUGCAAAAGUAUUUCCAGAACUAGGCCUCACUUACCAAGAAACUAUCCCUGGGAGCUCAGACUUAAGUGCCUCUGGAGCUCAAGAUCAGUUGCUAUAUACACACUGUUAAUAUCCCAAACUGCUGAAACACCACAACACCUGCUCAGUGACCAGAGAGCAUCCCAGUGGCACCCAAAGUCAAGUUUACCUCUUGUGUGUUGUGCUUUGCAGCACCUCUUUUAAUAACAAGUUACAACAUUCUUGAUACACAUGUAACUAGCACAAUGAAGUUCAUGAAGGGACUAUGUAGCACGGCUGAAACGAAACCAUUUUUUUGCAACUGCCUCUGUUCAGCCUUAAUAUUAGCAUUUACACUUUCAUUUUUCCUCAUUUAAAUAUAAUAAAAGGGAAAAUUGCCUUUGCUUAAUAUUGUUACUAAUUAAGUUUCGCUAUUUCAGUUUUUAGAAGGAGAUAAAGUCAGGGAGAUGUUAGUGUACACCUUGUCUGUUACUGGACACUCUGCUCUCAACCACACCUUCUUUUAAAUGGUGAGACCGUCUGUUGCAACAGGAAAAAAGAGUUAGGGAAAAAAGAAAUCCAUCUUGGAAUACAGUACAGUUCAAGUGUCAUUUUAAGAAGCCUGAAACUGAAAGCUUUUUUUUUUUUUAACCCAAGCUACUCAAGAUGCUUUCUGGCUUGACUAGAAAGACUAGUUGGUUUCAUGUUUCUGUUUUGGAAUUGUUUUGAACUGCUUUUAGGCUAAAUUCUUACCUGUCUUAAGUAUACUGUCUCACCAGUGAGCAGACUACAUUACUGAUACAUAUUUUUGGUAGACUUGAAAAGCACUGUGUGCAGCUUGAUUGUUGUCUAUGUUUUGCCAUUCAUUUUGAAGUGAGGCUCUUCUGAUUGAUGUGGGGAAUUGUUUGAAAGGAUGAAGGGUAUGGCAUAGCUACCCAAGAUGCUACUUGCAAUUAUUCCAUACCUCAGCUAGCAGGGAGAUUUCUACUUGUGAUUGUCACACUUUUACAAGUGAAUUAGUUAAUCAAAUUGCUAUUUUUGGAAUGCACUUAAAGGAGCAUUAAAAUGCAUUAAUUUCAUUAAAAUAAAUAAGCAGAUAGGCAAUAAAACAAGUAUUAGUCAAAUAAGCAAGAUCACCUAUGGAGACAGUUCAGCCCUAGUGAAAUCAACUGAAUUGUACUUGUCUGCAGCAUAUUUAAUUUGGCCUUUGCAGUCACACAACUGACACUUUAUUUGGUUGUCAAAGGUGUGUAUAUUAAAAAUGUGUGAGCCAUGCUGCUUCUCCAAUGUGAUUAACCUCUGAAGUUAAAUUCACCUGUUUUCCAUUUAGCUCAGCUGCACAGUCCUAUCGCAUAUGCAAUUUUUGGUGUGCGUACACACCAGAGAUGCAGAGAGGCAUUCCCAACCCUGGUAUUAGUCUAAGGGACGUGAGUUGUAUCUGAAGUGAGGGUGUGAUGAGGUGGAUUUCAGCAGAGGCUGUUCACAAUCAGCUGCAUAUAUGCUCCAGUUAAUAGGCUGUACUGAAGUCUCUGCUACCAUCUUUCAUUACUGCUGUUACUCAUGCCAGUGACAGUAAAGGAAAUGUUGGUAUGUCUGUAAUCACACGUUCAUUUGCUAUGUAGAUAGAUCCUAAGAGCCUCUCAGCCCAGGAAAAUUAUGCUGGAAUAAGGUUGGAUGUGAGUGUAGAGCAGAACUGUGUUCAGAUAGCUUGUUCAUUCUGGAGUGACCAAGUUGUUUCCUGGUUUCACUUAAUCCACUUUCAAAGUGGAUUAAGAUAAUCCAAGAAAGUUAAUUCUUAUGGUGGCAUAAUAUUUGUCUACACAUGGUUUUAGUCAAAAGUAAUUACCGUAGUGUACCUAAUAGGUGUUUUGGAAUAAUUUGGUGUGUAGACAACCAAAGUUCCAUAGGUGAAAACAACAGAAUUUAAUCUUUCUGUAUAACAUGAGGUUAAUUUAGCCAACAUUUGACCUACUUCUUUCCCUGUGAAGCAUAUUUAAUUCACCACAGAUUUUUCUUUCUCAAAAAAACUCUAUAACAUCUGUGUAUUUAUGAUCAAUUCCAGGAUAGCAAUGCCAUGUGUACUCCACUAAAAAUAAACAAUGUAACCAGUAUAUACUCUGAGCAUGCUCUCAACUGCCUUUAAGUGGAUAAUAGGUUAUUUACUGGAGAAAAUAUCAGCUUCCCAAUAGUAAAUAUUUUGAGUGGGUUGUUAUAAACAAAAGGAAAACAAAAAACAAAGCUCUGCUCUGUCCUCUUAAAUACCCAUGAUCCCUUUAUACUUUGACUGUGUAACAUUCAAAGCAAUAGCACCCCUCGUAAUUCAACAGUAUUAGUUCCCAAAUGAGGAUCCUCUCAAACUUGCACAGAAGGGUUUGCAGAACAACAGGGCCUUCAGAAGGCACCUUCAGAAUAGAGAACUUGCAGAGAUCUGAAUCAGGGGUAACCUACAGCUACUCUUCUCUGAAUUGGGUGUAUUGUGUCACUGCUGGUGUACAGGAAAGUUUGUACAGAAAGUACAAUUUUUUUUUUAUGGCUUUGUGCCAAGCAGAAAGUUUGACAGAUGUCAUUCAGUCUCAUUCUAUGCCACAGACUUCCCUGGGAACAGAGGUGGCUCUUUGACAGGAAUUAAGACUCCUAAACUUUAAACUUGGGGAUGGUUGUUGGGUUUUUUUCCAGGGAAGGGGAAAAAAAACCUGAAACAAAAGAAAAAAACAAACAAAAAAACCCUAGAUGAGAAAGAAAUUCUAUAAGGUCAUCCAGUUUUGUUUUUUGUUGUUGUUGUUUUGUUUUUUAAAGAAACAUAAAUAUAAAAGCUAGAUGAUACAGAUUGCUGACCCUUUAAACAUUGACAUGGGAAAAGCCAAUAAACUAUACGAAGAUUAAAAAACCCCAACUCCUACUUUGUGUGAAAGGCUGUAAUGUGGGAGGGCAGAGGGUACACAGGGGUUGUCCCUUACGCAGAUGAAGUAGCUCUGCUACUCCAUGUAACAGGCAAUGAUGCCACACGUAAAUUUCUCAUUCCUAAAGUGGGUUUGUGAUUAUCAGCAUGGCUUUGUUCUCCUGUGCUGGUGCUGGUUGAGGAUAUAGGGAAUGGAUUUCAUGUACCCUUCCCUCACACCAAACCUGCUCAUUUAAGUAAGAAGCUUUCUGGUAAGAAAGUAAGCAUUUACUCAAGAAGGUAAACCACAGGUAAAUAUAAAACAAGAAAUCAAGUUCUUGAAUUCUGUCAUGCUGGAUGACUUUGACCAUGGGUCUAGUUUUAAUAUUACGGCUCCAACUAGACUAAGAUUGAAGGCAGUGAGAGUUUUGGACCAUAUAGGAGUAUGCCUGGUCUGAAAUCCUAUUUGUAUAAACAAUUGGAUUAGCUUGUUUUACCCUCUACUUCCACUGAGAGGUCUCUGAAUGUUAGAACCACCUGUGGCAGUGGGGUAUCCCGGCUCUCCCCCACUCCUGUCAUUGCAGGGGAAUUACUUACCCAGUGAGGAGCAUGUCUUUAAAUCUCCGAGAGGGUGGCACAACACGCCAAAAGGAAAUCUCAGCAUAUGGCCAGUACAAUGAAAUGAAGGAUCCUCUAUGGGAAUUGGUUAGUAGUGCCAAUGUUUAAUAUUUGUCAUAACAACCGCUGACUGUUUUGGUUUUUGUUCUAACAAUGUGAAUUAUGCAUUAAACAUUAAUACAAGUGAGUGUACUUUUCUUUUGAUCUUCAAGCAUUAUCAUUUCUAAUGAGAGUUUAUAUAUGAACAUUGAAACAAAUCCCUGAGUCAUGUGAAUUUACAUUGGUUUUACUCUGUGGGAAAGACAUCCCGCAUGGGUUACUCAUGUCUGUAAAACAUAACAUAAAUCAGAAGAAAAAAAUGAGCUUGCAUUUGGCUCUUGGAACAUAAAUAUCUGCAUAGACAUUUGGCUUGUACGCUAGCGGUAAUGCAAUGUUAAAAAGUUAAUUUAUCAGAGAUUCGGGGUGGGGCCCUCACCUACUAUGGGAUCCAAGUCUGCUCAGAAUAAGCAAGCUCACCUUUUAGCUUCUGCAAUCUGUCUUCUAACAAGAAUCAAGCCUACUGUCAGAGGAAUUUGAACUGAGAAGUAGCAAAGGGAUCAGAAUUUGGCUUGCUUGAUAUAGACAAAAGUUGCCAAACUGCCAUCAGCAAGUAAUAAUAUUGCGUAUACGUAGCAGACAAAACUGUACAGUGCUAAGUGGCACAUUUCCAGAUGCCCUUGACAGCUGGCUGCGGUGCAAGGCUAACCCAGUCCAGACCAACUCUAGAACCUGCUCAGCCAUGUCUGACAUCUGCUUCUCUCAUUUUAACAUCAGUCACAAACGUUGCAUUCCAAGAAAAAAAAAAACAAAACAACAACAAAACACUAUGGAUUGUGUAACUGCCAAGACAGUUAUUUGAAAUAAAAACAGAAUUUAAACCCUUUCCCUUUCACAUGCUACACAAAUAUUAAAAUAACCAAUGAUUUAACAGCUUGCGCUUAAACAACUGUGCUUAUGUGCAAAGUACAUACUAGGGAAAGUACAGGUACAAACCAGUAUGUGGUGGGCCUGAUUCCUGGAUGUAAAGAUAGUGACUACAAGAUUUCCAAAAUGCCUCUUGCCUUUCCAAAACAGAUCCCAAAGGCUACAGAAGAGUGAUGGCUGCCAAUAAGGUAUUAUGUUUAAUGGCAGAGAGACUUUGUCUAUGGUUCAGGUCAUAUCUCAGGAAUUCUCAAAAGCUCAUUAAUGUGUUUUAUUCUUAAUCUGUAAGUGCUAAAGGAGUUCUGGAAGCCAGAGAUCCCAGAUUGCCCCACAUAAUUCAAUAUUCUUACAGGAGGCUACAGUCAUGCUCCCUACUGCUUCUUUUCUGUGGCCUGAAUAACCUUAAACACUGAUGGUAGGGCUUCAAAAAGAAGAGAAGCAGCAGCCUAUACAUAGAAUAGUUUAUAGACUGGAAGAAGAGGAAACAUGAAACCUUUCAUCCCUGAACUUGAAUUAUCUAACUGAUACGUUUUAUAUAAAGAGAGAGGAACUGGUACUAUUGCAGUUGAGAAGAAAGCACCUGUGACAUUCUGUUAUGAAACCCCAACACUGUUUGUAUGAAUUAAGUCUUCCCUGAGCUUGCAGAACUUCACCUGGCAUGUAAAGUCAAAGGAUGAAUAGAUCAAUAUCACAUCUUAAACUACUUUGGACUGAAGGACUUCAACUGCCUCAACUCCAUCUAGACCCUGCUUGAACCAUAUUGACAUUAUCCAGCCUUAAAAGUGGGUCUUCUGACUUUUCAAAAUGCCUAAGUAUAUCCCCAGGCACGCACAAAAAGCUGUACUUGCAAAGAUGUGACCAAUGUGGGUAGAAAACGGUGUACAGAACCAUGUAGGGAGGACUUUCUUAGCAUCACUCAGGGUGAGGAAGCCUGUUGGACCAUGGGUUCCCAGACUGCAUUCACAGCCCUGUAAAGCCAGCUAGAAACACUCCCUGUAGUUUAGCUCAUUUGGUGUGCGUUAGAGAUGGUUGUUUCUAGAAUCCUAAGUGAAAUGUGCUGAUACUGAACCCAUUGUUCCUCUUAUAUCUGCCAGCCUUUAGCAGGUGACCAAGAGGCUGGUGGAAGAGAGAGCCCCCCAGGUUUAAUCUACUUGUUCAUGAUCGAAAAUGAUGAGAAAAGUGGAAAGAUGUUAUUCCACAGACCAGUGCAGUUACUUACAUUUAACUGCUUACUCUCAGUUGGAACCCUGAAUUCCACUACUACAUAUGAAUGUCAUGGUAUGGUGAAGCCUUAUUCAGUAGUUAGCUGGUCAGAGCCACAAACUAGAAACAAGACAUGCAGCUGGUGAAAGCUGACAUAGCUCUCAAAAUCGGUGAAGUCAUACCAAUUUGUGCUAGCUGGGCAUCUAUCUUCAAUUUCUAAUAAAAAAUGAGAAAUUGAAUCUUUUCAUUAUAUUUUAGUCAUAUACAUCGAUAGCAAUAAAAUAAAAAGUUGUAAAUAGCUUUAUAGCCAAGACAGAAGCUGGACCAAUGCAAAAUCUUUAGCAAUGAAAUCCUAUAACCACAUUAUUGUAUAUUUCAGUGUUGGAGCCAUGUAGAUUACUGCUUAACUUCAGGGCAACAAAGCAAGCUCUUUUUCUUGCCUCUGUCUUUCAUUCAUCAUUAGUGCUACAACCUUCCGGUCCUCCUCAUGAGCUCAUCUCCCAGUACCACCCCCAAGGAGAGAGGGAGAAGUUGCAUUAUGGGUGUUUUUCUGUGGGCGGAUGCCUAAACGUGAAGGGAAACAAUUGAAUUUUAAUGACAGUUUUGAGACUCUUGAAGUUAAUUUCUGGGCAGCGCAGGAAUUAGUGGGGCUUGCUGCUGCCAGGAGCCACGUGCUUUUGUCUGCUGACGUUAGCAGGAUUAUGAAUGCUCAACUUUUUGCACAAAUAAGUGCCAAAAUAGCACCAGGUCCUUCUCUCAUGCUGCAAAAGGCUGGGGAAGAGACCUGCUGCAGUCAGGCCCAACCAAGUUGCCCCAGUGUCAAUGCAGAGCAAUUUCUAGAGGUGUGUUCUCAUUAGGUAUUUACAGCAUAGUAGCAUUGUUCAGGGUAAGAAGGUAAUUUUAUUAAGUGCUGUACAAAACAUUUCAUCAGAUAAAGUUCCUGCAUCCAAAAAACUUAUGAAAAAAAUGGCAAAGGGAGCAUGGCAAACAACAGGAUAUCCUGGGAAGAAAGAACACCAGUAAUUGCAGCAAAGGCAGCCAGCUAAGGAGGCUUUUCCUACGCACAGGGUAAAGAUAAAUCUGCCAAGGAGGUAAGUUGUUUAUUUCCUUUGUAACUAUGAUAUUUCCAUUGUGUUACUGAAUCACAGUUAGUUAAUAGCUUACAAACAUGAAGUUUGUUAAGCUUUAGAAGCCUUGUCAUAUGUAAGACAACAUGUCCUGUUUUAUCUAAAUUUCUAUUAAAAAGUUGUAAUCUAGUAGGUUUUGGUUGGGUUUGUUUGUUUGUUGGUGGUGUCAAGGUUUAGGUCGAGCCCAGUGUCCAAAAAACAUGCAGGCAAAAAUUCAGAAAAGUACAGUUAGUUAGAAGAACUUGGCUGAAAGGAAAAAUUCACUAAAAGAAAACUGGUCUUGUUUUUAACAAAACCAGGACAGUUGGUUUUUAUAAAUAAGUUUAGUAAAGGAGGGGUAAUUUUUGGUCUUGUUUUUGUCAUCUCAGAAGGCUCAGGGAGGAAUACAGAGGAUAGUCCCCAAAUCUGUAUACACCUACUUGUAUAUAAUGAAAUAGAAAAUUUAAGAUGCUUCAAAAUAAUGCCAGCCAUUUAAUUUGCUCUGUAGUUGGGUGGCAGAGUUUGAACCAUUUUCACCAAAACAAAGAGACCCACUGCAGAGUACUGUCUUUUCAGUUUGGGGCUAGACAUUCACAGCCCCGAACAGGUCACAAAAGGGUUCAGCCUUCCCUGUGUUACCCCUUUGCUCGGAUGGCAUCUCCAAACAAACAAACAAACAAACAAAAAAGAAGAAGAAAAAGAGGACGGACAGACAGCCAUCUGCCAUUGCCAUCUUGCCUAGGGGAGGAGGGAGCUGGUGUCCAAACAGGUGUGGCAGGACCCGAGCCCAAGCUGCCAAAUGGGCUUCCAGUGGGAUAAGCAGGGAGAAGCGAACGUCAGGGAGCUGCUUCCCUUGCAAACAUCUCCGUGUUCCCCUUUGCAUUCUCCCCUGAGACAGCUGAGAAUUUAUUAUUUGGCUGUUGGGUGUGUUAGUGUCUGUGUCCACCUGCAUGCUACCAGGCAUACAGAAAACAUCACUGGUGGACACGUUCUUGAAGUUCCCUUAGACUGAAGCUAGUUUUUAUUUUACUUACAGAAGAAUUAAAAGAAACUUCAGGGAGACGGAUUUUACUGAUUCUGAUAUCAAACCAGCUUUUCCCGACUGACUAAUACUAUUUUUUAUAUAUGCUACCAAGAGUUUAGUUCUGUUCAUUAUCAUUUCUAUUCAAUUAUUUCAACAAGGGUAAUUUUACUUAAUUUUUAUUUAUUUAUUUUUUUCACUGUACUAUGGUACAGUUCAUUACAUUAGAUUAAUUUUACUAGUUAGGAGACUUCACCAUAAUAUUUUGCUACAAAAUUUCUGCUGAGUAGAGCCUCUGUCUCAUGAACACCCCAUCCAAGUCCUUCUGGAGCCAUCCUGAGAACUUCAGUGAUCCCCAUACUUGGUCCCCUGUGUUUAUAUCAGGCUUGCACACAACCAGAACAGUCACAGUCUCAGCCCCUGCUCUGAGCCCAUGGGACUUGGGUGUUCAGCUAAGACUGCAGAGAAAGAACCAUGGCCACAAUCCAGUUAAUUAUUUUAAUAGCUGUUAAUAAAAAAAACAUAUUCCUAAUCCUUACUUGUUACGGCUUGAUGCAUGGUAAGAUACACGAUAUUACCUGAAACAAUUAAUAUUUUUUUGGCCUCUUUUGUGUGAAUAAUGUUUUUUUAAUAGAUUGGUGUAUUAAUUUCUAGUUGGUAGGAGAGUGUUGCUCCACAUUCCUACCUGUGCAGAUAGAAUAUCACAUCACUACCAGGGUGGUAUGCUACCCAGAGUUAACGUCCAGAAACAAUUUCUUCAAUUCCAGCAGUAUAUGCUGCUUCUUGAGAUAAUUCUUCAGGUACAAGCCAAAUGAAAAUGGCCCUUCCCUCACUGUUUUCCACUAUGCCUCGUUUUUUCUCUCUCAGCUUUACACUGUAGCAGAGGAUGUACAAUGUGGAAUGCUAGUUUUCCUCCCUGUGGCUUCCGUGCAACACAUUGCUAUGCAAGAGCAAUUCCAACUGGUUUCAGGUAAUGGGUAAAGGAACUCAGAAAUAAUUCAGUCACUAUGGGCACUCUCGCUUACAUGGGUCUGUUACUUGCGAUCCUUCCUUACCUAAAUGGAGUUAUGCUUAAGGAAGGUAGGAUGCUACAGUUUCAAUAAUUUCUUCAUUCUACCAAGACAGACAGCUUCAGACCCUUGAAGUUCCUCUUUUACAUGACACUUCCUUUAAAACAAGUUUGUCUCCUUGAGUAAAUUUUUCCGUAGCUGUGAUGUGAUAUAAAACACACACACACACACACACGCACCCCUAUACGUGUGUCAUAGGUAUCUCUCUAUAUAUUUCUUUCUCUCUCUCUAUGUAUAUAUAUGUAUAUAUCACUUAUUCCAUUGGAUAGGUGUUAUUACAGAUUAGAAAAAUAAAAAGUAAAAAUGUAUCUACUGAAUGUAUAAAAUAAUUUGGUAUCACCCAAUUUAGAAAUAUAAGUUCCAUUUAUUUCUGCUUUUCCCUGAAUACAUUACCACCACCUACCGCAGAAACAGCUGAUGUCAGUAACAGUAUAUGUAUGUGUACAGCUGCAAAAUCUUUUGAUUUCCAUGUGUCAGUGAAAACCAUCACUGGAUUACUGUAUUUUUUGCCAUAUGUAAGAGAUUCAAUCAGUCUAGAACUUUCUACUGAUGCAAAGGCAUGAGAUAAAGAGCUCCAAGAAUCCUUUGAACAUGAAGGAGUCACUACACUGUAUCCUGUGAAAAUACGUAAUACUUCCAACUUUUUUCAAGUGGACAAGAUGAAGAAGGAUGGAAGAGGGAAGAAAAUUGUUCAGAUAAAAUCCAAGUCAGAAACAGAAAAAAGACUUUCUAAUUUAUAAGUCAGAAGUCUGCACUAUUUUCAUUCCUCGUUUAAAGAUCUAUGUUUUUAAUUCUAAAUUUCAAGCAUGUUUUAGAUGUCUCACUCUUUUCUGGUAAACACAUCAAAAAAUGAAAUAAUUAAGUAAAAAAAAAAAAAAGUUAAAUAGUGAUAUAAUUUGUUCAGAAAGUGUUGACUGAUAAGCAUAUGCAUGGAAUUACCUAGUUCAGUUCUACUUGAACAUUUUCCUAACUGGAAGAAAAUGUGUAAGUUCCUCACUCAUUUUAACAGUCAUCAUUAAUGCAAGGUAAACUUAGCAACACUUCAUUGGCAGCUUCCCAAGACUGACAUGAAUGUAAGGAUUUGUAUUUGAUAUAAGGAGAAAAUAAGAAUAAUACUAAUAGUUUUUCUGUAUUUGCAUGAAAUAAAUAGUUAAACACAAAAUACCCAAUGUGCCACUCAUAGACAUGAUAGCUGUUUCCAUGGCAGGGGUGCAGGAGUAGGAGGGGGAAGGGGCAAAACUCCUACUACAUGGCAAGAAAUAUAAAAAUAUUAAGUAGAAGUCAGUGAAAGAAAAAUGAGGCCUAGAACCAUAGCUUUCAACAAAGAUUGUUGUGUUAUUUCUAUGUAUUUCUGCACAACAACAUCAGAACGCUGGCUGGGAUUUCCGAGCAUUUCCACAAUCCCAACAGUAAGAGGAAGCUAUUCAAAGUCACGAGAGUUUUGGUGUUAACUGCAAUGGAAAAAGAACUGAGCCUUUAUCUUUAGUUAAAUCAGUUAUUUAGAAUGAACUUAUAUUGCUAUAUCAUCUUUUCUCCCCUCUGUCCUUAGAGUCAGAGCCACUUAUACAUUACUGAUGUACAUUCAAAAAACCCCAUGCACAGACCACAAUGUACUAUUCUUGCAAGUAUUUUGAGGGAGGGAGAUUGCGUGUAUUGUGCCAGUGCUGUGUCUUAGGGUCAUGAGUCACUCGGAAAAUACAGAUAAAUACUCCUUUUUGUGCUCUGAAUAAAAAGCCUUUUGGGACAGAAUACAAACAUGGAGAAGUAGUUUCUAAGCUUAUUAUCACUACUCUGUUUGUUAAGAAUAAAACAAAUUUUGAAAUGCAUCAAAUACCUAGAUGGAAACAGGUCAUUAUCACCAGUAUUUGUGGCAAAUACAUUUAUUACAUUCAGCCAACAUUCUAAGCGUAUUCCUAUACCUACCUGCAUGAUGAAAUGAGCCCCAGGUGUUUCCAUACAUGACAUAACAGUAAAACAAACCACAACAAAACCCCCGACAACAACAAAUAAUAAUCUAAAUUUCUAUUUAUUCAGCGACUAAAUCCUAGCCAACAUAUACCACUAUUUAUCGUGGCUGGUGGUAAUUUUACACACCUGGUAAGCACAGAAGGCCCUUGUAACAUCGGAAAAACUGAGAUAUGCAUUAUUCUGAAGAUGGGUUUAGUUUUGUUAAGGGAAUACUGAUAGAAUAAAACAUAGGCUUUUACAAGAAAUACAAAUAUUUUAAUUUUGUUAAGACUGAGAUAAACUAAUAAAAGAAAAAAAAAUACAGUAUUAAAUUUGUUAACCCUCCAUUCUCAACAUAACACCUGCAAUUAUAUGCUCUCUUUUCCUUUCUGGCAAGAUCUCAUUUUCUGUAAAGAUGUCACGGGGACCGCUGCUCUCCAUUUUCCUAAGUUAGCACACAAACAUCUGCCAAAUGCAGUACGAUACGCUGUUCACCUUUGUUGUAAAUGUAAGACUUUUCCAUUUAAGAACUGUAUAAAUUAAUCAGUAUUCAUUCACACCUAUACUUAGAGGUAUCUAUUAUAAAAUAGAGAGUGUUCAUUUUAAAUUUCCUUCUUAUUGUGAUUUUAUGCCAUAUUCCUCUGCACUAAUGCUGUUUGGAACUGCUUAGACACAAUAACAAAUGCAAGGGAAGUAAAAACAAAAGCAAUGCAUUUUCCCCCUUAUUUGCUUCAAGUAUUUAUCAACAAACAAAUGUGAUAAAAAUUCAGAGCUAAAAGGUCUUGCCUGACAUCUCAUUUAAACAACUCAGUAGUUUAGCAAACUGGUACAACUCAGUAGUUUUGUGCCCUGCUCCAAAACCCAAGACAACAAAAAUCCCAAACUGUCUUUACACAUUUAGGUUUGCCCUCUGAAAUCCCGUGCAGUAUCUAGUAGCCUGUAUUCGAUGUCAGAGUUUCCAAGGGAAGUAGUAGGGCGUUGUCUGUGGUUGUGAUGUUUGUUUUGUUUUGUUUGUGUUGUUUUUCAUUAUAAUAUAUAUAGAUUUAUCAUCUAUGGAAAGGAAAUCUACGUACAUCGGUAAAAAGGGUGAGCAAAAAGGGAAGUUUAAUUAACAUAUGAAUAGAAACAACCAACCUUUCUUCAGUGGAUGCUUUUGAGUCCGAAAUGUUUUUUCUCAUGCUGCAGAAACCCUCUAUUCGAACAAGUACAUGCUAACAUCACUUAGUUCUCUAAUCACCAUCAUUACCAAGACAAGCAACUGCUAUUGAUCACACACAGCAUUCUGUAAGAUCCAUUUUUCCAAUUAAAUUUAUAUUCUCCUUCUUGGA